rnacentral:rRNA from 1 species
UACGUAGGGUGCAAGCGUUAAUCGGAAUUACUGGGCGUAAAGCGUGCGCAGGCGGUUAUGUAAGACAGAUGUGAAAUCCCCGGGCUCAACCUCGAGACGUCGGUGGAAACUGCCUGGCUAGAGUCCGGAAGAGGAGUGUGGAAUUCCUGGUGUAGCGGUGAAAUGCGCAGAUAUCAGGAAGAACACCUAUGGCGAAGGCAGCACUCUGGGACGGUACUGACGCUGAGACGCGAAAGCGUGGGGAGCGAACAGGAUUAGAUACCCCUGUAGU